rnacentral:misc_RNA from 1 species
CUUUUUUUUUUUUAAAUAAAAAGAAAAAAAAACUCUUUCUAGGUAUUUUGGAGGGAGCAGAUGUCAAGAAACUGUUAGUUAUUUGGGAUUUUGAUAUAUUGUCAACGUGCCAUGAUUGGUGCAUUUGAGAUUUCACUAAGGUUUCUUUAGUAAUACUUGUCAUAGCUAUGUAUAGACGCUUCAUUUUCUGAGUUUAAGUUGAAAAUUUGACAAUUUUGUGGAUUUUAUUUGUUGCCUCUGAAGGUUAAUUCUAGUGUACACUAGGUUGAAGGAACAAAUCAAUUUAAUGCUUUUUUUAUGCUUAUUUCGUCCUUUUUUUUCCCCAUCUUUAUCUCUCUUAGAUGUAGUUCCAUCGGUUAAUGUUGGUCUGAGCACCCAAUUCUCAAUUUCUCGUCUUUUGCAUCCUUGUUCAAAGAUUGAGUUUG